rnacentral:rRNA from 1 species
UGCCAGACUCCUACGGGAGGCAGCAGUGGGGGAUAUUGCACAAUGGGGGGAACCCUGAUGCAGCGACGCCGCGUGGGUGAAGGAGCGUUUCGGCGCGUAAAGCCCUAUCGGCAGGGAAGAAGGAGGACGGUACCUGACUAAGAAGCCCCGGCCAACUACGUGCCAGCAGCCGCGGGAAUACGUAGGGGGCCAGCGUUAUCCGGGUUUACUGGGUGUAAAGGGGGCGCAGACGGCAGCGCAAGCCAGGAGUGAAAGCCCGGGGCCCAACCCCGGGACUGCUCUUGGAACUGCGCGGCUGGAGUGCAGGAGGGGCAGGCGGAAUUCCUGGUGUAGCGGUGAAAUGCGUAGAUAUCAGGAGGAACACCGGUGGCGAAGGCGGCCUGCUGGACUGCGACUGACGUUGAGGCCCGAAAGCGUGGGGAGCAAACAGGAUUAGAUACCCUGGUAAU